rnacentral:rRNA from 1 species
CUACCCGCUGAAUUUAAGCAUAUCAAUAAGCGGUGGAAAAGAAACUAACCAGGAUUCCCUUAGUAACGGCGAGUGAACAGGGAUUAGCCCAGCACCGAAGUCUGCGUCCGUUUGGGCGUUGGACAAUGUGGUGUUUAGGUUGGCAUUAUUGAACUUCGCUCCGUUUAAAGUCCAUUCUUGAAUAUGGCUAAUAGUUUGGCCCAAAGAGGGUGAAAGGCCCGUGUGGAUGGAGUGUUGUUUGAUUUUGUUAACUGAAGAGUCGGGUUGUUUGAGCCAGCCCAAAGUUGGUGGUAAACUCCAUCUAAGGCUAAAUACUGCACGAUCCGAUAGCGACUAAAUUCG